UAAUCUUGAGUUGUAAUCUGGUAGGAUAGGUUAGUGUCCUAGAGUCCACGUGAGAGGAGUUAGUACUAGUCCUAGUUAGGAGUCGGGGCAGCAGUCCAGUUUGGAGUAAGUCAUGUCCAGGUCCGGCUAGGAUUAGCACGUGGCCGUGUAGGUCUAGGUUUGCUGUAGGUCGGUUCAGGUCAUGUAUAUAUAUGUGACCAGGGCUACGUCAUGAUGUAACAACCGAGGCAAGAAAAGGAGAAAAUAAAAAGAGGAAUUUUUAGGGUACGAGACAUACCCUUGGCGAUCAAUUUUGUCUGCGCGUGUGUUCCUGUAAUUUUAUGUGAUCGAUCCUGAGGGCGGAUUUCCAACAGUUGGUAUAAGAGCUAGGACAAUUUGAAGCCACGCUUGCCCCGGGGUUGCGACCCGACUAGCGCCUCGGGGCGGGCGAUAUGGUCGCUGGGUGGUGCAGCGACGAGGAAGAGCGAGCAAUAUGGUCGCUGGGUGGUGUAGCGACGAGGAGCGGCGGGCAAUGUUAUCGCUGGAUGCUGCAGCGAUGAGGAGGAUCGGGAGAUUGUCGUUCGGCGGAGCGACAUGAAGACGGCAGGAUGUCGUCGGCAAGGCGGUGGAUGGAGAUCGUUGACAGGGGCGGUGGUGCAGUGAUGCGGUGCCAGAAAGUCGUCAAGAUCGUCAUCCGGGAGUUAGAGUCAAGGAGUCGUGCGGGUUAGUCGUCGUCGUCGUCAUGUCCAAGUGCUUGUCUGUGUGAGGAGGCGUUGAAGAUGAAGCGCACCCAGGUCGUCUAUGUGUCUCGACGAGAGGAUCAAGUUCAACUAUGUGGGGGCGGUAAACCAGUGAAGGUGAGUCUCUUCAAUGAGGCCAUGUCUCUACAUGAGGCUGGAGUGCAUGGUAUAGUGCACAGGGUGGUGUGAUCCACAAGGAGCCGGCAUGUAUCUCGCUAGGGUGGAUGGUGUAGUCCACCGGGUGGUGUGUUCCACAGGUUACUAGCGAGGCUGGGUAGUCCAAGACAUAUUUGAGGUGGUCCGUAAAUUCGCCAAGUUGAAAUUGGGAAGAGAUUGUUGCAGUGAAUGAAGCCUAUCAAUUUAACUUGUCGUGAUGCGAGCGGAUGAGUCGACAAGGGGUGAUUUACAACAAGCCAAGACCGGAGAAGCACAGAAGACAAGGUGUCAAGAUUAGGGAAAGAUUGUUAGCAAUAAUCUUAAGUUGUAAUCUGGUAGGAUAGGUUAGUGUCCUAGAGUCCACGUGAGAGGAGUUAGUACUAGUCCUAGUUAGGAGUCGGGGCAGCAGUCCAGUUUGGAGUAAGUCAUGUCCAGGUCCGGCUAGGAUUAGCACGUGGCCGUGUAGGUCUAGGUUUGCUGUAGGUCGGUUCAGGUCAUGUAUAUAUAUGUGACCAGGGCUACGUCAUGAUGUAACAACC
rnacentral:lncRNA from 1 species